rnacentral:lncRNA from 1 species
CAAACCCCUAAUUGCCUCUACACAACAAACCUCCAUAACCAAGCCAAACCUCUCCCAGGCUUCCACCAUCGUCCCACAUAUCCAUCACAACCCCCCAAGCUUCCACAGUCCACACUAAUUUACAUUCUUCAUCUCUUAUUGCUUCACCCGACACUGUAAUGGAUUCGAUUUUUGGGUGAUUGCAGAAGCAAGGGGAGAGCCUGCCACUGUGUUCUCUCUUUCUCUCUCUGGUUCAUGCUUUUCUCUCUUCAAAACCUCUCUUCGCCAUAGCUACCCUCCCCGCCGACCUCGAACCAACCCAGAAUUGCCAAAGCUCCAGAUCUGGGUUUUAGAUCGAGUGAAUAGUUCGCCUCCUCUUGUUCAGAGUGGGUCUAGAUCUAAACUGAAUCUUCUGUCAUUGGUUCUUCUUCCCCUUCGUCUUCUUCUAAAAGGGCAUCCUCUGAGCUCUAAAAUUUGCCCCAUUUUUCUAUCUUCUUUGUUUUGUAUUUGGGUUGGUAGUGGAUCUGGGUUUAAAGUGAGAAUAAAUUAUGAAAUAAAGAAGUUGUCAUUUUGUUUUCAAUCAAGGUUGUAAUUGAUUAACAAGGUUUUUGUUAUGUUGCGUUGGGUCUGAGUUUUUUGAGUUUCCAAAACUUCUUUCUUUUUUCAUGCUAAAAAAAUUGACAGCCAUAAUCCAUUUUGGGGUUUUGGACCAAAACCUAACUAUGAAUUCCACUUUCCUCCAAUUUCAGAAGUGUUACUUCUUCCCCCUCUUAUGGAAAUGGGGCGAUAUUUGUUCUCUUCCCCCUC